rnacentral:rRNA from 1 species
GCCGAUGGCGACCGGCGCACGGGUGAGUAACACGUAUCCAACCUGCCGUCUACUCUUGGACAGCCUUCUGAAAGGAAGAUUAAUACAAAUGGCAUCAUGAGUCACAUGUUCACAUGAUUAAAGGUAUUCCGGUAGACGAUGGGGAUGCGUUCCAUUAGAUAGUAGGCGGGGUAACGGCCACUAUCUUCAUGGAUAGGGGUUCUGAGAGGAAGGUCCCCCACAUUGGAACUGAGACACGGUCCAAACUCCUACGGGAGGCAGCAGUGAGGAAUAUUGGUCAAUGGGCGCAGGCCUGAACCAGCCAAGUAGCGUGAAGGAUGACUGCCCUAUGGGUUGUAAACUUCUUUUAUAAAGGAAUAAAGUCGGGUAUGUAUACCCGUUUGCAUGUACUUUAUGGAUAAGGAUCGGCUAACUCCGUGCCAGCAGCCGCGGUAAUACGGAGGAUCCGAGCGUUAUCCGGAUUUAUUGGGUUUAAAGGGAGCGUAGAUGGAUGUUUAAGUCAGUUGUGAAAGUUUGCGGCUCAACCGUAAAAUUGCAGUUGAUACUGGAUAUCUUGAGUGCAGUUGAGGCAGGCGGAAUUCGUGGUGUAGCGGUGAAAUGCUUAGAUAUCACGAAGAACUCCGAUUGCGAAGGCAGC